rnacentral:rRNA from 1 species
AAAAACAUGUCCUUUUGAUUGAAUAUAAGGUCUAGCCUGCCCACUGAUAAUUAAAUGGCCGCAGUAUUUUAACUGUGCAAAGGUAGCAUAAUCAUUAGUCUUUUAAUUGGAGGCUGGUAUGAAUGGUUGGACGAGACACUGACUGUUUCAUGUGAAAUUGAAUUAGAAUUUUAUUUUUUAGUAAAAAAGCUGAAAUGUAUUUUAAAGACGAGAAGACCCUAUAAAUCUUUAUAGUUAGUUUAUUAUAGUUUUGUAGAUUUAUUAUGUUGUAAUAAUUAGUACUAUUUUGUUGGGGUGAUGUUAAAAUUUAUUAAACUUUUAAAUUUUGUUACAUUAAUUAAUGAUUGAAUGAUCCGUUAAUAACGAUUAUAAAAUUAAGUUACUUUAGGGAUAACAGCGUAAUUUUUUUGGAGAGUUCUUAUCGAUAAAAGGGAUUGCGACCUCGAUGUUGGAUUAAGAGAUAGGUUUAGGUGUAGCAGUUUAAAUUUUAAGUCUGUUCGACUUUUAAUUUCUUACAUGAC